rnacentral:lncRNA from 1 species
UGUCUUUCUGUUGUUUUUUUGUUUGCUUUCCUUGCAGUGCAAAAGGCUAAAGUUAGUGAAAUACACUAAGUAAGCAGUUUCGUUCAUUGUUAUAAAAUUACCUGUAUUGUUGUUUGCAACAUGCUUUCUAUAUUUGACACAAAAUCUGUAGGGAAAAGAGACGUGUAAUUGGCUUGGAAGAAACUGAAGCAAUGAAAUUCCGGCUAGUAGGACUGCAUUUUUGCGUGUUUACUCAAUGUCAAAGCCACGCUAUUGUGUAUUGAUAGAAGCAAAUUUAACAUGAAAGCAAAAGACUUUUUUUCCUAUAUCAAAGGUGGUAUUGUUUAGCAGUUUUGCCAUUAGCAUGUUUCUGAGUCUCCAUCUUUGGCAGAUGCAAUGAUGACAUGAAGAAUCCUAGUGUUGUUCAGAUAAGUGAACUUCAUUGUAUUUAGUUGAAACUAAUAGCUAUAAUGUGUGUUUGUAUGUUUCUGAAUAUUUUAUUCAUUGACAGACGUGACGAAUGUCGGAAGAAAAUAGAAUAUGUAAGAAAUCAGUUCUUAUUCCCGCGUUUCCUGUCGGUUGUUAACAUCUCAAGAUUUUUGUUGUGUUUAGCUGUGCAACUGAUUUAAUGCUGAGUGUUUUUUUCCUUUCUAUAUUUGUCACAGAAUCUGUAGGUAAAAAAGAUGGAAGCAAUGAAAUUCCUGCUUGUAGAACCGCAGUUUUGCGUAUUCACUCAAUUUCAAAGCCACUUUAAUAUGUAUUGAUUGAAGCAAAAGACACUUUUUUCUUAAGGAAAAUUGGUAUUGUUUAACAGUUUUACCAUUAGCAUGUUUCUCAGUUUCCAUCUUUGGCAGAUACAAUGAUGCCAUAAAGUAUCCUAGAUAAUGUAAUUAAGAUAAGAGAACUUCAUUGCAUUUAGCUGAAACUAAUAGCUAUAAUGUGUGUGUGUUUCUGAGUAUUUUAUUCAUUGACAGAUGUGAUGAAUGUUGGAAGAAAAUGAAAUAUGUAAGGAAUUAUUACUUUUCCCCUCGUUUCUUGUCUGAUGUUAACAUCUCAAUAUUUUUCUUGUGUUUGCCUGUGCAAAUGAUUUAACGCUGUUUUUUCCCCUUCAGCUUUGUCAUUUUUGAGUUUUGAUAUGAAGCGAGUAAGAAUGUUUUCCUGUCAUAACUAAUGGAAUUAAUAAUUGCAGUUCCGUUUGGCUACUAUUAAAUGUUUACAUGCAACGUAGGGAAACUAAAACGAAAAUGGUUUAGUAGCUUUUUGUGUAAUGUUAAUUGUAGUAUUUUGGAAAAUGUGCUUUGUUUGUUUCUCACGUGAUAUUUAGAUGAUGAAAUUGGAAAUUGUCUUGAUGCAUGUUGCAGAUUGAAGAUAGCAGCAAUGCAAUUUAUUUGGUAGAUUAUUGUUUUCGCAUAUUAAGGUAAAGAAAACAUCAGUUGACAGAAUGAAAAGCCUUCCAGGAAAAGUAUGACUGCCUGUAAAAUUAAAGAAAAGCUUGUUUGUUUUCAGUUAAUGUCCAUUUCCUUUUCACCUGUGUAUUGUACAUAUGGAAAUAUAACUAUUUUAAAGAUAGUUUUAAAUUUGACAUCUACAGGUUUUGUAUGUUCCAAGUUGCCUGUGUGAUGUUUUCAUCUCCUUUUUUUGUCCCUCGUAGUAUUUAUUUUUGCUUUGAGAUGAAGAUAGAUUUCUUUAUGAAAUUUUACUGUUUGUGCCAUGCCUGUUAUUGGUAAUAUUUUACGUUGCCUAUUCUGCCUUGGUUGCAUAAAUACUCUGUUCACAGAAAAAACCUGAAGGAAAUGUAUGAAGAUGUUGAAGACUGUUAAUAUUGUCAUGCAGUUACAUUCAAUGAAUUAGUGAUUGGAAACUGUAAUUCUGUUGGUAAGUCUGGGUUGUAUGCAUUCAGUGUAUGUGAAUCUCUCUACUCUUGAAGCACUUUUUCCUUUCUCCACUUUUAAUGUUAAAUAUUUCAAGCAAAAUCUAGUUUAAUGUUGUGGAAUAUCAAAUGUUUGAUCUCAUUAGAAAAAAAAAUUCGAAAGAAAAUGCUGUUGUGGAUACACAAGUUUUGAAAUUGGGGCUUUUGGUUUUGUUAAAAUAUUUAGAAAUGAUUUUCUUAUGAGGCUUCCUCAUUAAAGUUGCAAGAGGUUUGAGUUUGCAUUAUCUUCUGUUGUCUAGGAUGAAUGUAACAAAUAUGUGCAGCAAUAAAAUAACCAAAGAAAUCAAGCUUUGAAAAGAGCCCUCAAUAAAUUAUGUCUCUGAAAGAAAAAAGAAAUCUUUACAAGAAAGGAAAGAUGUUUUGAGAGUAUACUGUUACAGGUUGAACAAUUGUUUAAAAGUUGCCCUGUACUGAAGUGAUCAAUUACUUGACGUUAAUUAUGAUUUUGCAGCAAUGGAAUGGCAGUUGUGGCCUCCAGUGUCUUCUGGAUGAAUUUAAUAAUCCUGCAUAAUGAUGGAAUAGCAAAAGAACUUAAGCUCAAAAAGAAUUCUCAUCAAAAUUGAAGUUUCCAAAUGAAAUAUUAUUUCAAAGGAAAAACAGUCAGAAAUUUAUAAAAUUAUCUGUUGAAUUUAAGAAGUUUUUCUUAUGAUCACAAGAAGCUCAUUAUCAUUAAAAUGUCAGUUAUUUCAAUAGCUAAUUAAAUUGCACUACUGAAACAAAAUUUAGCAAAAUUUAUGAAACACAUUGUGGAUAUAUACAACCAAAAUAAUUGAGUGGUCUGGAAAUGAGCAUAACUCACAAACGUAAAAAAAAAACAUAUCAAAAAGUGCCAAACAAAUAUUUUAAUUUUAUUUAUUGGAAUUGUACAAGUGAUGAAACUAUAUGAAAACUGAAAAAAUCGCUUUGCCAUAAUUACUUAUCAAAUCUUCUGUAGGCAUCUGGAUACUGAUAAUCUACUCCAUGUAUGAUAAAACACUCGAUACUAUUAUGAAUAUAGUUGUCUAUCAUGUAUCUAAAUAAAAAAAAAUAAAAAAUUUUUCAAUCAGAUUCAGAUGUAAUUAUUUAUCAAAUCUUAUGAAAAGCUUGAUAUGGCUAUGUCUACUGAAACCACCCUUACAGAAUAGAAUAUAUUCUGCAGACUCCCUUCUCUGGUAUCAGCAAAAAUUUUUGUUUUAAAACAUUUUCUAAUUAACAUCCAAAAUAAAUGCUGUUUAUGAUGUAAAAA